UACGAAGGGUGCAAGCGUUACUCGGAAUUACUGGGCGUAAAGCGUGCGUAGGUGGUGAGUUAAGUCUGUCGUGAAAGCCCCCGGGCUCAACCUGGGAAUGGCGAUGGAUACUGGCUCGCUAGAGUGCGGUAGAGGAGAGUGGAAUUCCCGGUGUAGCAGUGAAAUGCGUAGAGAUCGGGAGGAACAUCAGUUGCGAAGGCGGCUCUCUGGACCAGCACUGACACUGAGGCACGAAAAGCAUGGGGAGCGAACAGG
rnacentral:rRNA from 1 species